rnacentral:rRNA from 1 species
CCUGCCCAUCACUUGGGGAUAACCUUGCGAAAGUAAGACUAAUACCCAAUGACGUCUCUAGAAGACAUCUGAAAGGGAUUAAAGAUUUAUCGGUGAUGGAUGGGGAUGCGUCUGAUUAGCUUGUUGGCGGGGUAACGGCCCACCAAGGCGACGAUCAGUAGGGGUUCUGAGAGGAAGGUCCCCCACAUUGGAACUGAGACACGGUCCAAACUCCUACGGGAGGCAGCAGUGAGGGAUAUUGGUCAAUGGACGAGAGUCUGAACCAGCCAAGUAGCGUGCAGGAUGACGGCCCUAUGGGUUGUAAACUGCUUUUAUAAGGGAAUAAAGUGAGUCUCGUGAGACUUUUUGCAUGUACCUUAUGAAUAAGGACCGGCUAAUUCCGUGCCAGCAGCCGCGGUAAUACGGAAGGUCCGGGCGUUAUCCGGAUUUAUUGGGUUUAAAGGGAGCGUAGGCCGGAGAUUAAGCGUGUUGUGAAAUGUAGACGCUCAACGUCUGCACUGCAGCGCGAACUGGUUUCCUUGAGUACGCACAAAGUGGGCGGAAUUCGUGGUGUAGCGGUGAAAUGCUUAGAUAUCACGAAGAACUCCGAUUGCGAAGGCAGCUCACUGGAGCGCAACUGACGCUGAAGCUCGAAAGUGCGGGUAUCGAACAGGAUUAGAUACCCUGGUAGUCCGCACGGUAAACGAUGGAUGCCCGCUGUUGGUCUGAACAGGUCAGCGGCCAAGCGAAAGCAUUAAGCAUCCCACCUGGGGAGUAC